UACAGAGGUCUCAAGCGUUGUUCGGAUUCAUUGGGCGUAAAGGGUGCGUAGGCGGCGCGGUAAGUCGGGUGUGAAAUCUCGGAGCUUAACUCCGAAACUGCAUUCGAUACUGCCGUGCUUGAGGACUGGAGAGGAGACUGGAAUUUACGGUGUAGCGGUGAAAUGCGUAGAUAUCGUAAGGAAGACCAGUGGCGAAGGCGGGUCUCUGGGCCUUACCUGACGCUGAGGAGCGAAAGCGUGGGGAGCGAACAGG
rnacentral:rRNA from 1 species